UACGUAGGGAGCUAGCGUUGUUCGGAAUUACUGGGCGUAAAGCGCACGUAGGCGGCUUUGUAAGUUAGAGGUGAAAGCCCAGGGCUCAACCCUGGAAUUGCCUUUAAGACUGCAUCGCUUGAACAUCGGAGAGGUAAGUGGAAUUCCGAGUGUAGAGGUGAAAUGCGUAGAUAUUCGGAAGAACACCAGUGGCGAAGGCGACUUACUGGACGAUUGUUGACGCUGAGGUGCGAAAGCGUGGGGAGCAAACAGG
rnacentral:rRNA from 1 species